rnacentral:piRNA from 1 species
CAUGGGAUGCUUCCAUAAUACUGUGAGA